rnacentral:rRNA from 1 species
UACGGGGGGGGCAAGCGUUGUUCGGAAUUACUGGGCGUAAAGGGCUCGUAGGCGGCCAACUAAGUCACACGUGAAAUCCCUCGGCUCAACCGGGGAACUGCGUGUGAGACUGGAUGGCUGGAGUUUGGGAGAGGAAUGCGGAAUUCCAGGUGUAGCGGUGAAAUGCGUAGAUAUCUGGAGGAACACCGGUGGCGAAGGCGGCAUUCUGGACCAACACUGACGCUGAUGAGCGAAAGCCAGGGGAGCAAACGGGA